rnacentral:rRNA from 1 species
CGGCGUAGCCUAACGACGAUAGGCUAAAGUUCGAGCGGAGUACGAGUCGGACGGAAGCCUUACGGGACGGAAGAAUGGUUAGUACGUUAGGCGGCGGAGUGGGUGAGUAAUAGGUAGGUAACCUACCUCAUACUGAGGCAUAGCUGGGAGAAAUUCCAGGUAAUUCCUCAUGAGGUUAUAUGACACAUGUGAUAUAAUCAAAGGUAUCGCAAGGUACUGGUAUGAGAUGGGCUUACUGACCAUUAGCUAGUUGGUGAGAUAAGAGCUCACCAAGGCGAAGAUGGUUAGGGGUUUUGAGAGAGAGAUCCCCCACAUUGGAACUGAGAUACGGUCCAGACUCCUACGGGAGGCAGCAGUAGGGAAUAUUGGGCAAUGGGCGGAAGCCUGACCCAGCCAUGCCGCGUGAAGGAAGACGGCCUUAUGGGUUGUAAACUUCUUUACUAUGCGACUAACUAGAUUUACGAGAUAAUUCUAUAGAAUGUAGCAUAGCAAAAAGCACCGGCUAACUCCGUG